GGUAGUUAGAUGCCAAUAAGAGGACAAUUCCUUUCAGUAAAAUGCUGAGAAAAGGAGAACAUAGCAAUAUUUUUAAAACACCAUUUUACAAUCAUCGUAAUAAAGACUGGAUUGGGUAAGAAUCAUCAAGUAUUGCUAAAUCAGGGGAGGAAAACAGUGGAUGUUUGUAGGGGAACAAAAUACUCAAUCUAAAGCACCUUCCCACAGACUGCCUAUUUGUUGCAAGGGGGAAAUAUACAGUGAAGACACAGAACAAUACUUCAACCAAGUGAUCAAAAUUAACAUCAACAAGUUCCUCAUCUCACAUGUGAUACCUUAACAAGAACACAUCACUUGUUAAGGUAUCAUCUGUGAGAUGAGGAACUUGUUGAUGUUAUCCCCAGUUGGGGAUACAUAACUGCAAGCUAAUCAUCAGAAAGUCUCAGACAAACCCAAACUGGAAAACAUUCUACCAAAAACCACACACACAAACACAAAUUAAUGACUAUUUUUGUUAUGGACAACUGAUCUUCAUGGCAAAUAAACAUUUCCUGAAGGCAGAGAUCAUCUAUCACACUAUCUGAUAAUUUUAAGAGUUUGUUGUUUAAAUGGAUAAUCCCUGCCUAGACCAUAAGAUGCUAAGUCUCAGACAGUGUCUUUAUUCCUCUAUGUUUCCCAACUCUGGUUCCAAAGAAUAGUGAAGACACAAAGCAUAAUAGUUAGAAGAAUAAUGAAUUUUUAAACUAGGUAAACAGAAAUGUUUAUAAGUUAUGUAAUAUUCCAUAGUCUCAUCUCAACCAAAUUUUUCCAAAAGUAAACAUUUUUUCAAAACUUUUUAAUGUAUAUAAAACUAAAAAAACAGAAAACAAAAAACUAGAAUUCAAAGAAUCACUCCACAUAUACAUUUAUACACUAACUUUGGAAAGUCUUGUGUUUGCAGAUAUUCACAAGGAAAACCUCAAAAAUAAGUUGAAGUAACAAUAAAAUUUAUGAAUACACUGUAGUUAGAACUCAACUUUAUUGUUACAACGAAUUUUUAUUUACAGAAUAUAAAUCUCUUCAAAAAGAUACAUUCCUUCAUUUAAUCAAUGGUAAAAAGCCUUAUUAACAGAAAUAAAGCCUAAACAUCACUUAUAUUUGAACUGAAAGACAAACAGCUUCAUUAAAAGUUUAUGAACACAUAGUGAAAAUGUAUUUUUACUUAACCAGUUACAUGAAUGAGGCAUAGCAAAACACCUACAUCAAAAGUUGCAUUCAUUUAAGAGGUAUCAAUACAUUUUCAGUGCUGAGACUAUUUGUAGCACUUACAUUAUAUACAAAGCAGCAUUAUACUACUAUGGUUCACAUUUGAUAAACACGAAUUUAAGCUUUAUGCCACAAUUUCCCAAUUCAACAUAAAGCUAACGCAAUGACAGUUACCCAAUUUCAUUCUUUUUCUUCUGAAACUGAAUAAGGAAAUUAUCAUUUAAGCACAUGGAAUAAUGGCCAUGUCUUUUUCCUUUUAAUAACAGUAUAUUUUAAAACUCAAAUACUUCAUAUCAUGGAAAUUUGACCAAGCUGUACAAAGGCUCCUAAAUACAGUACAGUCAAAAAGUUUCCUCUUUGCAGACUCAAUUUAUAGUCAAUUUAGUACAGAUAAAUAUAGGAAACUACUUCAGAUUAUUGGACAAAUAAGAAUUUCAGUGUGUCACUACCUAUAAUUAAGUAGCAGCACACCACAACCACAGCAAGUAAACACUAAUCUCCUCUACUGCCUUUUUGGGGUCUUUUCCAGUCACAGGAGCUAAUUUACAGGGAUACCACUGGGUUUCAACCAAUCUCUGAAAGUUCCUUUAUUAUGAGUUUUGAAAUUUAACUAAUGCAUCACCUACAAUUCUGUUGGCUAGUUUUUUUCUUACUCUUCACUAAUUAGUUUUAAAUACAAUAUGUAAUGUUUUCAAAUUUUUAUAAACAUAGGUGUUGUACUAAAAUGAUUAAUGGCAUUUGAAAUACAACAAAUGGGUAAGAUGUUAACCAAAACAAUGGGAUUAAGAGUAUUUUAGAAAGCGAUUUUUUGUUAACUAGAAAAGCUACAGGAUUCACAAUGAAUACAGAUACAAUAUUUUUAACCCUGCUCUUUUAUUACAUCAGUAGUAUAGUAAGUGCAUAAAGUAUAGAAGAGAAAGAAAAUUUCAGGAGAGAAACUUACAAAAAACUUGAAGUUUGAUGCGUCAAACACAAAAUAGUUUAAAACAGUUUACAGUUCUUAUAAGCACUAUCAUAAUUUUUUCUACCCAAAUAAUUCAGGUCUUCAUUCCAUUUCAAACUGCAAUCCAGAAAUGAAGAUUUUCAGUGUAAAAACUGUUCAGAGAAAUCUAAUUCAUUAUGUAAUACAUCUUAUUAAUUUCAGUUUUCAAGUAUUCAAGUAAUGCAUACCCAAGUAUUUUCUGUUACAGCAACACAUUUACAGACUAAGCCUCAAACAUGGGGAAAAAUUCAUUUAAAAUAAUUGAUACACUUUUCUGUCCAACGACAUCAAACCCAAGACAUGACACUGGAAUCACACAAGUGGUAUAUAAAAGUUAAAAAUUUUAAAAUAAGGUGGUUCAAUAUAAAUAAUGUCUUCUUUUCAAAAAGAACUGAAAACAGGUUAUCUUAAUACAUAACUAAAUUCCCAGUAAAAGGACAUUCUGGAAUCUAAUGGACUAAAGAAAAACCAGAGCAAAUCAAUUUUGAAAGAUGAAGCUGCUUUACCACAUACUUAAAAUGAUUUUUCCUCUGUGCAUAAUAAUUACUAGCAUUUGUCUUCUGCAUAAAGUCGCACAGGUUACUGUCAACAAGUUUCCUAGCAUAAAGCAUCGCUAACUUUGUCUAUCAACUGAAUGACUGAUUGAUUAAAAGCUUAAGUCUGUAUCACUUUGGAAUGCUUAUUAAAAACAAUUUAAAGCAGAAAAUUGAAAUGACAGUAUUUUCACUUAUAUUAUGAAGACAGAAAUUCGUAAAAUGGUACAGAAGGCUUCUGUGUAAUGUAAAAAAGAAAUAUUUGUAUAAUUUUAAAAGUGGAGGGUUCUAACUUUUAAUUGAGAGUGGGGGAAACUUUUUUUCUUUAAAUCUGGAAGCUGUAGUAACAUAUUUAUGAAGUUAAAUAUUUUUAGUUCAGCAAAAAUGGAAAUAAUUGUCAUUACAAGAUUACUUAAGUCUUUUCUGUCUUUUAUGAUCCUAUCAUGAUCAACUUUAAAUUUAGAGAAGUCAUUUGAGAUAUGCUUAAGUUGAACUAAAGACUUAUUAUUUGUCUAAUUUCUGUAUAUAUGGAAAUUAGAUUCACAUUGGGAUAUCUAAAAUUUCAAGGUUUUUUUGUAGAAAAAAAUUAACAACCCUAAAAAUAGGAAAUUAUUAAAUUACAUUUUUAAUUUCCUUUAGCUUGGAAUCAUGACUCAAAGAACGGAGCUCUAUUAAUAUAACAGUGUAUAAAUUCACUGCUUCCAGGAAUCUAACCUCACAAAACCUAACGGCUAACUAAAAAAUAAAGAAAAGUCUUAUUAAGCACUGAGAGGCUAAAUAAAUGAGUACUGACAUUAACCAAAGCCGACAAACCCUAUUUCCAGUUCCUGUGAUCUCACUGUGUAGCCACAACUGUUGGCUAUUUUUACUCUAAAACCAACAAGCUGAAUCAUUUCCUUACAGAAAAAUUUCUACAAAAGGGAAGAGAAUGCAAAACAAUACACAGUCUCAUAUGCAAGAUACAGUUCACACUAAUUUACAAAUUUUUAUUUACAUUUUUUAUAUACAUUCCAGGCAGACCUACUUGAUGAGUUUUGUGCUCAUAUUGAUCUCAGAUGAUCGUGUGUACUGUAUGAUUUACUACCACAUCUCUUUGAUUUCCAGAAAAUGGUGGUAGCAUGGGGUUAGGAGGAAAAGAAAUCACUGGUCAGGUGAGAUCAUACAAGUAUGAAGGGGAAAAAAGGAAAAAAAAUUGCGGAAUUUGGCUUGUUAAAGCAUCCAGGCCACUAUGGUCUAUUGACUAACAUUGAAUAUACAUGAAUGCCACUUCUUACAGCCAUUUUCAUAUUUACAAAAUGAGCUUACUACUAGUUGAGUUAUUAGGUAAGGCAUUCAAGUUCCUUAGCUUAACAUAAAAAGGCAACAGACAUCUUAGCACACCACAGGACAGAUUUUAGAGGGAUGAUUUCAGAGCACUUUGAGAUUUACCCUCCUUUAGAAUCCCUUACAUGGUCGAUAUAAAAGGGAAGCAAUUCUGAAUCCUAUUACUAGCCUGCACCAUGAUCCCAAAAACCUAUACAGGAAGUAGGAGCAUCACAACAACCAAAAUCUAGCCAGAAUGGGGAAAAUAGAUUAGAUAUCUUAUUUUGUUCCCAAGAUCCACUGCAUAGUCCCAGAGCUAAAGUGAGAGCCUUUAUUCCUGGUUACAUUCACUUCCCUAUGAAUCUCUCCAAAAAACCUACAAUAGUGUGACAGCUAGUAGCUAUGCACAGUCUAUCAGCAAUGGCUCAGUGAACCUCUAUUCAAAAUAGUUUGAAGUAAGAAUAUGGAGUAAGGUAGAAAAAUUAUCUUCUCUCCUCCCACAGUUCUACAAGAUAUAUACUGUUGCACUUUAGAAGGCAGAAAGCAAAAAAAAAAAAAAAAAAAAAAAAAAAAUUAAGAGUAUUACACAUUCUUUAUCUGUUUUAUGAAAAUGUUCUAACCACAGACAAAAAUUCCACCAAAAACAAUUUUUCAAGUUCACACUAACAUUAUAAAAAGCUACUAGUUGUUUAAUUGGUUCCAUUCACUUAACUAGGCAAAGUUCUAUUGAUCUUACAGUAAUAUGGUUUAUAAAAACAAAAGUGAACAUUUAUAACUGCCUCAACAUAUAACGCUGAACUUACAUGUAUCAAGUAAUCAUUUGCUAUCAGUCUAAAAACAUAGAAUCAAACUAAAACAUGAAACUAAAAUGUGAGGAAUGAAACAUGAAACUGAAAUGUAAGGAAUGACUCUGGAUAGGUAAAAAAUAAUUAACCUAAACAAUAUUUUCUUAUUUCUACAUAUGAUAAAUUUUGUGUAUUUGUUUCAAAAAUUAGCAAUACUAGUGACUAUUUAAUAAUCAAAAACAUAAAGCAUCUCUAGAAGUAAAAGGAAAUUUUUGGUUAGAAACAAUUUGAUACUAUAAAAUUUUUAAAACUGAAAAUAGUAACGACCAUAUUUAGCAUUUGAAAACAUUAUUUAAUACAGAUUUUGGUAACAUUAACUAAUACUUAUUCCAAGAUUAUAUGGUA
rnacentral:lncRNA from 10 species